rnacentral:misc_RNA from 1 species
UUCACCGCUUCUUCCCUGCGCCCUACACGGCUUUACUCUGCACACUAUCCGGAAAGCUGUAUGCUGAACGCCAGCCACUGACGAUCAGAAGUCUGUUUCGUUCCCCUAACUACUCCUUUUCCUUUCUUUUUUGUGUUCGUCUUCUCCCUUUACAGACAGGACACGCAAACACACACACACACACACACACACAAUGAAGUCCGUGUUCAUCACCGGCGGGAACCGCGGGAUCGGACUGGAGACGGCGCGCCAGAUGGGCAAGCUUGGCUACUAUGUAAUCAUUAGCUGCCGCGAUGAGGAGAAGGCGAAGACCGCCAUUGAGAAGGUAUCCGCAGAGGGUGUGAAGGCUGACUACGUAAUCAUGGAUGUGGUGGACGAAUCCUCUGUUGCGAAGGCAGCUGCGGAGGUGUCCAAGAAGGUCAACGGCGUUCUCGAUGCGCUCAUCAAUAACGCUGGAUAUGCCGCUCCUUCUGGUGACAUGAGCCGCGUCAACCUCGAUGAGAUGCGGAGGUGCUAUGAGGUGAACGUGAUCGGCACUGUAUGCGUGACAAACCACUUCCUGGAAAUGGUGAAGAAGUCGUCCGCUGGUCGGAUUGUGAACGUUGGGUCCAUCAUGGGGAGCUGCCAGCUGGAAGUCGCUGCUCUGAGCCACACUCCAUACAACUGCUCGAAGGCUGCCCUGAACAUGUACACUGUGAAUCUGGCAAGCUCGCUGAAGGAUACGAAUGUGAAAGCGAAUUGCGCUCAUCCCGGGUGGGUGAAGACGGACAUGGGCGGCGCCAAAGCACCAUUGGAAGUCACUGAGGGAGCGGAGACGAGCGUGUACCUCGCCACGCUGCCGGCCGAUGGCCCCACCGGCGGGUUCUUCCACAAGUGCGAUCGUCUGCCCUGGUAGCUGUAAUAAAAAGCUUCUCUUGCUUCUACCAUCUCGAGGCACCCCUUCUCCUCGCUCAAAGCGGGAGGCACUCUGCGGCUGCUUGUUUUCCACGAAGAGCAGCAGGCUUGGCGUUCCUCGCCUAUUGCUGCUCGUGAAAAGCGGAUGCUGCAAAGUCUUGCUAUUUUGGGCACGACAGCACGCUAUACAUCGCAGCUCUGUCGCGCGCCACACUUUUGUGGCUCUCUUCGUUUUGCGAGCACUUUCACUACAAAUGACGGUGCUUUGCCUGCGUUUUCUCUGCACUGAAUGUUUUCAUCGUUCCUGACUCUGUGGG